rnacentral:rRNA from 1 species
AGAGGGAAACAACCCUGACCUCCAUCUAAGGUCCCUAAGUCAUGGCUAAGUGGGAAAGGAUGUGAGACUCCCAAAACAACCAGGAUGUUGGCUUAGAAGCAGCCAUCAUUUAAAGAAAGCGUAACAGCUCACUGGUCUAAAUAAGGGGUCUUGCGCCGAAAAUGUACCGGGGCUAAAGCCAUGCACCGAAGCUGAGGAUGUGCACUUUGUGCACGUGGUAGCGGAGCGUUCCGUAAGCCUGUGAAGGGAGACCCGUGAGGGCUCCUGGAGGUAUCGGAAGUGCGAAUGUUGACAUGAGUAACGAUAAAGGGAGUGAGAGACUCCCUCGCCGAAAGACCAAGGGUUCCUGCUUAAAGUUAAUCUGAGCAGGGUGAGCCGGCCCCUAAGGCGAGGCCGAAAGGCGUAGUCGAUGGGAAUGCAGUUAAUAUUCUGCAGCUUGGUGGUAGUGACGGAUGCCGUGUGUUGUAUCUCCUUAUUGGAUUGGGGGUGCAGCGAAGGUGUUCCAGGAAAUAGCUCCACCGUAUAAACCGUACCCGAAACCGACACAGGUGGUCAGGUA